UGGGGAAUUUUGGACAAUGGGGGAAACCCUGAUCCAGCCAUCCCGCGUGUGCGAUGAAGGCCUUCGGGUUGUAAAGCACUUUUGGCAGGAAAGAAACGUCAUGGGUUAAUACCCCGUGUAACUGACGGUACCUGCAGAAUAAGCACCGGCUAACUACGUGCCAGCAGCCGCGGUAAUACGUAGGGUGCAAGCGUUAAUCGGAAUUACUGGGCGUAAAGCGUGCGCAGGCGGUUCGGAAAGAAAGAUGUGAAAUCCCAGAGCUCAACUUUGGAACUGCAUUUUUAACUACCGGGCUAGAGUGUGUCAGAGGGAGAGGGAAUUCCGCGUGUAGCAGUGAAAUGCGUAGAUAUGCGGAGGAACACCGAUGGCGAAGGCAGCCUCCUGGGAUAAAACUGACGCUCAUGCACGAAAGCGUGGGGAGCAAACAGG
rnacentral:rRNA from 1 species